rnacentral:rRNA from 1 species
UACGGGGGGGGCAAGCGUUGUUCGGAAUUACUGGGCGUAAAGGGCUCGUAGGCGGCCAACUAAGUCAGACGUGAAAUCCCUCGGCUUAACCGUGGAAGUGCACUCGAAACUGCGCAGCUAGAGUCCUGGAGAGGAAGGUGGAAUGCUUGGUGUAGAGGUGAAAUUCGUAGAUAUCAAGCGGAACACCGGUGGCGAAGGCGGCCUUCUGGACAGUGACUGACGCUGAGAUGCGAAAGCGUGGGGAGCAAACAGG